CGGAUAUUUUUGACACUUCAAAAAUUGGAAUAUCUCGAGAGCCAAAGCGACAGGCGAACAAAAUGCUCUGUGUAAUUUUUCAUGACCCCCAUCACAUCUCUACUGCAUCCCAAGCGCUACAGCUGGGACCUUGUCAGUAGAUUGGGGCAGGGUCUGGGGUCUAGGGAGGCGAAGUGUAUACCAUUCAAAAUCGUAGCAGAUUGAGCUGUUGAGCCCAAGAGAAAAAUGGAGAAGGAAAAGGAGAUGGAGAAGCAGCAACCAGCAUGACAACUGAGCCUCUGCUGCCUUUAUCACUUCUCCUCGCUGUAUAUGCCACUUUUUUAUAUUACUUGGCAAAUAUCGAUAAGAGACAGCACGAGAGAGAAAGAGAGAGAGAGAGAGAGAGAGGGGUCCCAGUAGCCCAUCUCCCUUGCUGUCACUCUGUCUGUCGCUUCCACUUUGCCUUUUGCAAUAUUUGGCGACAGUAAAUGUUUGCUAAAUAUCCUCAGUAAAUACUUGGCAGCUUAUACUUGGAUUCGUAUUCCCUUUCCUUCCUAAUAUAUACACAUGAAUAUCAAAGUACAGUAAGGAUUCGCCCGUUCUUUGUGGUACUGAGCGUGGUCUUUGUGCUGGAGUGUCCACUGUACUUCAGAGCUCCCAACUGAGCGACUCCGCUGAGCAAGGAAGUCUGGCAUAAUUUGUGCCUCCUGGAAUUCGCUUUCGAUCAUUUUCAAGUCGUAAAUCUGGAGAGCGGGUAUUUUAUGGUCGGUAUAGGGGAGUUUCUGCUGGUUUUUUAUGAUACUAUAUGCUGUAGAACGGCAAAAACAACAGCAAUACAAGAGUGCUAGUAGAUUCUAAAAAACCACAUCUUAUUUUUGCCCCAUCACUGCUUGUGGCAGCCAGAAUUCACCCACAGAAAGACUGAAGCAGAGUAAAAGAGAGAGGUAAAGAUACAGAGACAGAGAAAGCGAUGUGUACAGAGCGACAG
rnacentral:sRNA from 1 species